GCCCUUCUCUAAGGAAUAGCCUCGGGAAACUGAGAGUAAUACCUUAUACGCCCUUCGGGGGAAAGAUUUAUCGGAGAAGGAUCGGCCCGCGUUAGAUUAGAUAGUUGGUGGGGUAAUGGCCUACCAAGUCUACGAUCUAUAGCUGGUUUUAGAGGAUGAUCAGCAACACUGGGACUGAGACACGGCCCAGACUCCUACGGGAGGCAGCAGUGGGGAAUCUUGGACAAUGGGCGCAAGCCUGAUCCAGCCAUGCCGCGUGAGUGAUGAAGGCCUUAGGGUCGUAAAGCUCUUUCGCCAGAGAUGAUAAUGACAGUAUCUGGUAAAGAAACCCCGGCUAACUCCGUGCCAGCAGCCGCGGUAAUACGGAGGGGGUUAGCGUUGUUCGGAAUUACUGGGCGUAAAGCGCACGUAGGCGGAUCAGAAAGUAUAGGGUGAAAUCCCAGGGCUCAACCCUGGAACUGCCUUAUAAACUCCUGGUCUUGAGUUCGAGAGAGGUAAGUGGAAUUCCGAGUGUAGAGGUGAAAUUCGUAGAUAUUCGGAGGAACACCAGUGGCGAAGGCGGCUUACUGGCUCGAUACUGACGCUGAGGUGCGAAAGUGUGGGGAGCAAACAGGAUUAGAUACCCUGGUAGUCCACACCGUAAACGAUGAAUGCCAGACGUCAGCAAGCAUGCUUGUUGGUGUCACACCUAACGGAUUAAGCAUUCCGCCUGGGGAGUACGGUCGCAAGAU
rnacentral:rRNA from 1 species